rnacentral:rRNA from 1 species
GGUUAAGCGACUAAGCGUACACGGUGGAUGCCCUGGCAGUCAGAGGCGAUGAAGGACGUGCUAAUCUGCGAUAAGCGUCGGUAAGGUGAUAUGAACCGUUAUAACCGGCGAUUUCCGAAUGGGGAAACCCAGUGUGAUUCGUCACACUAUCAUUACGUGAAUACAUAGCGUAAUGAAGCGAACCGGGGGAACUGAAACAUCUAAGUACCCCGAGGAAAAGAAAUCAACCGAGAUUCCCCCAGUAGCGGCGAGCGAACGGGGAGCAGCCCAGAGUCUGAAUCAGCUUGUGUGUUAGUGGAACGGUCUGGAAAGUCCGACGGUACAGGGUGAUAGUCCCGUACACCAAAAUGCACAGGUUGUGAACUCGAAGAGUAGGGCGGGACACGUGGUAUCCUGUCUGAAUAUGGGGGGACCAUCCUCCAAGGCUAAAUACUCCUGACUGACCGAUAGUGAACCAGUACCGUGAGGGAAAGGCGAAAAGAACCCCGGCGAGGGGAGUGAAAAAGAACCUGAAACCGUGUACGUACAAGCAGUGGGAGCAUCCUUUUGGGUGUGACUGCGUACCUUUUGUAUAAUGGGUCAGCGACUUAUAUUCUGUAGCAAGGUUAACCGUAUAGGGGAGCCGAAGGGAAACCGAGUCUUAACUGGGCGUUAAGUUGCAGGGUAUAGACCCGAAACCCGGUGAUCUAGCCAUGGGCAGGUUGAAGGUUGGGUAACACUAACUGGAGGACCGAACCGACUAAUGUUGAAAAAUUAGCGGAUGACUUGUGGCUGGGGGUGAAAGGCCAAUCAAACCGGGAGAUAGCUGGUUCUCCCCGAAAGCUAUUUAGGUAGCGCCUCGUGAACUCAUCUUCGGGGGUAGAGCACUGUUUCGGCUAGGGGGUCAUCCCGACUUACCAACCCGAUGCAAACUGCGAAUACCGAAGAAUGUUAUCACGGGAGACACACGGCGGGUGCUAACGUCCGUCGUGAAGAGGGAAACAACCCAGACCGCCAGCUAAGGUCCCAAAGUCAUGGUUAAGUGGGAAACGAUGUGGGAAGGCACAGACAGCCAGGAUGUUGGCUUAGAAGCAGCCAUCAUUUAAAGAAAGCGUAAUAGCUCACUGGUCGAGUCGGCCUGCGCGGAAGAUGUAACGGGGCUAAACCAUGCACCGAAGCUGCGGCAGCGACACUAUGUGUUGUUGGGUAGGGGAGCGUUCUGUAAGCCGUUGAAGGUGUAUCGUGAGGUAUGCUGGAGGUAUCAGAAGUGCGAAUGCUGACAUAAGUAACGAUAAUGCGGGUGAAAAACCCGCACGCCGGAAGACCAAGGGUUCCUGUCCAACGUUAAUCGGGGCAGGGUGAGUCGACCCCUAAGGCGAGGCCGAAAGGCGUAGUCGAUGGGAAACAGGUUAAUAUUCCUGUACUUGGUGUUACUGCGAAGGGGGGACGGAGAAGGCUAUGUUAGCCGGGCGACGGUUGUCCCGGUUUAAGCAUGUAGGCGGAGGUUCCAGGUAAAUCCGGUACCUUUUUAACGCUGAGGUGUGAUGACGAGGCACUACGGUGCUGAAGUAACAAAUGCCCUGCUUCCAGGAAAAGCCUCUAAGCAUCAGGUAACACAAAAUCGUACCCCAAACCGACACAGGUGGUCAGGUAGAGAAUACCAAGGCGCUUGAGAGAACUCGGGUGAAGGAACUAGGCAAAAUGGUGCCGUAACUUCGGGAGAAGGCACGCUGAUAUGUAGGUGAAGUGAUUUACUCAUGGAGCUGAAAUCAGUCGAAGAUACCAGCUGGCUGCAACUGUUUAUUAAAAACACAGCACUGUGCAAACACGAAAGUGGACGUAUACGGUGUGACGCCUGCCCGGUGCCGGAAGGUUAAUUGAUGGGGUUAUCCGUAAGGAGAAGCUCUUGAUCGAAGCCCCGGUAAACGGCGGCCGUAACUAUAACGGUCCUAAGGUAGCGAAAUUCCUUGUCGGGUAAGUUCCGACCUGCACGAAUGGCGUAAUGAUGGCCAGGCUGUCUCCACCCGAGACUCAGUGAAAUUGAACUCGCUGUGAAGAUGCAGUGUACCCGCGGCAAGACGGAAAGACCCCGUGAACCUUUACUAUAGCUUGACACUGAACACUGGUCCUUGAUGUGUAGGAUAGGUGGGAGGCUUUGAAGUGUGGACGCCAGUCUGCAUGGAGCCAUCCUUGAAAUACCACCCUUUAAUGGCUGGUGUUCUAACGUGGACCCGUUACCCGGGUUGCGGACAGUGUCUGGUGGGUAGUUUGACUGGGGCGGUCUCCUCCUAAAGAGUAACGGAGGAGCACGAAGGUUAGCUAAUCCUGGUCGGACAUCAGGAGGUUAGUGCAAAGGCAUAAGCUAGCUUGACUGCGAGAGUGACGGCUCGAGCAGGUGCGAAAGCAGGUCUUAGUGAUCCGGUGGUUCUGAAUGGAAGGGCCAUCGCUCAACGGAUAAAAGGUACUCCGGGGAUAACAGGCUGAUACCGCCCAAGAGUUCAUAUCGACGGCGGUGUUUGGCACCUCGAUGUCGGCUCAUCACAUCCUGGGGCUGAAGUAGGUCCCAAGGGUAUGGCUGUUCGCCAUUUAAAGUGGUACGCGAGCUGGGUUUAGAACGUCGUGAGACAGUUCGGUCCCUAUCUGCCGUGGGCGCUGGAGAAUUGAGGGGGGCUGCUCCUAGUACGAGAGGACCGGAGUGGACGCAUCACUGGUGUUCGGGUUGUCAUGCCAAUGGCAUUGCCCGGUAGCUAAAUGCGGAAGAGAUAAGUGCUGAAAGCAUCUAAGCACGAAACUUGCCCCGAGAUGAGUUCUCCCUGAGACUUUAAGUCUCCUGAAGGAACGUUGAAGACGACGACGUUGAUAGGUCGGGUGUGUAAG